CCAAUAGCGUAUAUUAAAGUUGUUGCAGUUAAAAAGCUCGUAGUUGAAUUUCGGGAUCGAAUUGUUGGUCGUGCUUCGGUACGCACUGGCAUUAUCGGUUCCUACCUUCUGAAGAACCGCGAUGUCAUUAAUUUGGUGUCGUGGGGAAUCAGGACUGUUACUUUGAAAAAAUUAGAGUGUUUAAAGCAGGCUUACGCUUGAAUACAUUAGCAUGGAAUAAUGAAAUAGGACGUUUGAUUCUAUUUUGUUGGUUUCUAGGAUCGACGUAAUGAUUAAUAGGGAUAGUUGGGGGCAUUAGUAUUCAAUUGUCAGAGGUGAAAUUCUUGGAUUUAUUGAAGACUAACUACUGCGAAAGCAUUUGCCAAGGAUGUUUUCAUUAACCAAGAACGAAAGUUAGGGGAUCGAAGACGAUCAGAUACCGUCGUAGUCUUAACCAUAAACUAUGCCGACUAGGGAUCGGAUGAUGUUAAUUUUAUAAUGACUCAUUCGGCGCCUUACG
rnacentral:rRNA from 1 species